GGUGUUGUAGCUCAGAGGUGGAGUGCUUACCUCACACAUAUGAGGCACUGGGUUCCAUUCUCAGCAACACAU
rnacentral:tRNA from 1 species